rnacentral:rRNA from 1 species
CCUACGGGAGGCAGCAGUGAGGAAUAUUGGUCAAUGGCCGUAAGGCUGAACCAGCCAAGUCGCGUGAAGGAAGAAGGCCCUAUGGUUUGUAAACUUCUUUUAUAGGGGAAUAAAGGUAUCCACGUGUGGAUCUUUGCAUGUACCCUAUGAAUAAGCAUCGGCUAACUCCGUGCCAGCAGCCGCGGUAAUACGGAGGAUGCGAGCGUUAUCCGGAUUUAUUGGGGUUAAAUGGGGAGUAUGUUGUUUUGUAAGUCAGCGGUGAAAGUUUGUGGCUCAACCAUAAAAUUGCCGUUGAAACUGGAAGACUUGAGUGUGCUUGAGGUAGGCGGAAUGCGUGGUGUAGCGGUGAAAUGCAUAGAUAUCACGCAGAACUCCGAUUGCGAAGGCAGCUUACUAAGCCAUAACUGACACUGAAGCACGAAAGCGUGGGGAUCAAACAGGAUUAGAUACCCCAGUAGUC